UUAACAUAGACACUCAUCUGAUCUGUUCUUGGAAAUCUCAUGUUGCCAGUCAUUAGGAGGUACUUUAACUAAUGUGCAAUGUUUUAAAAGUGAAUUCACAUGACCGUGGUCUAAUUUAUCAGCAAGCAGAGGAUCAGAGAUGUGCUAGUUAUCAACUAAUAAACAAACAAACAAAUACUUUGUAUAGUAUAUAAUUAUACUGUUAGCCUUGACAAUAAACUAAUCUCUUUUCUUCCUACAGUUGUCUGUACUAAUGAAACCAAAGCAUAUCUUUAACUGAAUUUAUUAGGUACUGUAUUGCUGUUGCUAGAUUCAGUUAUAAGAUUUCUGUUGCAUGGAAAGCCCCAGCAGGGAUUUUAAAUGUUCAAAGAGCUACAAAGUGAAAAAAAUCUCUCUUAGCUUCUUUUAAAUAGUUUUACUUUCAAAAAGAAGUUCUCUAUGUUCACGUGUUCUGAAGACAGAACUAGACUGUUUUCGAAGGUUAUGUACUUGGUCCACAGAAAAUGUUCACCCAGGUUUAUCAAUCCGUCUUACAAUUCUCAUACCAGAAAUUCGCUUUGAGUACCCUGGUCAUCAACUAGUCAGUGCACUCUCCAGUUUGCCUGUGAAAUACCUAUGGCUCAGAUUAUAGAUAGGCUGUGUUACACAAGGAUCAGUAAAGUUCAUUGUCCAAAUGAUAGGAGACCCAGCGCUCUUGUUCCAGGAAUCAGCUCUCCAUCAUUACAUGGCACCAGCACAAAGGCAGGUGGGCAGUGUGACUGAAGCCAGGCUGACACAGCACCCAGACCCAUUUGCACUGAAGGUCUGUAGGGCAGUUCUUUGGCUCAGGGCAAUGGAAGAUGAGAACAGGAAGCUCUGAAAUUGAAAAGCCAACCCUUAAAGUGACAUAAAACAGUUGGUUGAAUUUGCAGCAGUCAAGGUGACAGCACUUCAUUUGGAAAUCAAAAGGAUAUGUAUGUAUGACUAGCUGUAAAUCUUGUCUGAAUAGAAGGGGGGGCUAUGUUUUCUCUUAUAAAUUAGUAUUUUAGUUGCUGUGGUAAUGAUCCUUGUAUAACUUGUCUAUGUAAAUGAAACUCAAUCCCUGCUGUCUCCAACCACAAAGGCUGGAACAAAGGAAAACAAAACUGAACCAAAGGAACCCAGUCAACUAAAGCCUUACGAUGAAAAAUGUAAGAAAAAGUUAGGAAUAAAAGUAGUUAGGUACUAGUUUAUGAGAACA
rnacentral:lncRNA from 1 species